rnacentral:rRNA from 1 species
GGUUAAGCGAACAAGCGUACACGGUGGAUGCCCUGGCAGUCAGAGGCGAUGAAGGACGUGCUAAUCUGCGAAAAGCGUCGGUAAGGUGAUAUGAACCGUUAUAACCGACGAUGUCCGAAUGGGGAAACCCGGUGCACUUCGGUGCAUCAUCGUUUGAUGAAUACAUAGUCAAACGAGGCGAACCGGGGGAACUGAAACAUCUAAGUACCCCGAGGAAAAGAAAUCAACCGAGAUUCCCCCAGUAGCGGCGAGCGAACGGGGAACAGCCCAGAGCCUGAAUCAGCUUGUGUGUUAAUGGAAGCGUCUGGAAAGUCGCACGAUACAGGGUGAAAGUCCCGUACAUGAAAGCACACAGGCUGUGAGCUCGAUGAGUAGGGCGGGACACGUGAUAUCCUGUCUGAAGAUGGGGGGACCAUCCUCCAAGGCUAAAUACUCCUGACUGACCGAUAGUGAACCAGUACCGUGAGGGAAAGGCGAAAAGAACCCCGGCGAGGGGAGUGAAACAGAACCUGAAACCGUGUACGUACAAGCAGUGGGAGCCUUCGUAAGAGGGUGACUGCGUACCUUUUGUAUAAUGGGUCAGCGACUUAUAUUCUGUAGCAAGGUUAACCGCAUAGGGGAGCCGAAGGGAAACCGAGUCUUAAUUGGGCGUUAAGUUGCAGGGUAUAGACCCGAAACCCGGUGAUCUAGCCAUGGGCAGGUUGAAGGUUGGGUAACACUAACUGGAGGACCGAACCGACUAAUGUUGAAAAAUUAGCGGAUGACCUGUGGCUGGGGGUGAAAGGCCAAUCAAACCGGGAGAUAGCUGGUUCUCCCCGAAAGCUAUUUAGGUAGCGCCUCGUGAA